GACGAACGCUGGCGGCGUGCUUAACACAUGCAAGUCGAACGGUGAUCUUGAGAGCUUGCUCUUGGGUGAUCAGUGGCGAACGGGUGAGUAACACGUGAGUAACCUGCCCCAGACUCUGGGAUAACUCCGGGAAACCGGAGCUAAUACCGGAUAUGACACUCGCACGCAUGUGCAGGGUGUGGAAAGUUUUUCGGUCUGGGAUGGACUCGCGGCCUAUCAGCUGGUUGGUGAGGUAGUGGCUCACCAAGGCGACGACGGGUAGCCGGCCUGAGAGGGCGACCGGCCACACUGGGACUGAGACACGGCCCAGACUCCUACGGGAGGCAGCAGUGGGGAAUAUUGCACAAUGGGCGAAAGCCUGAUGCAGCGACGCCGCGUGAGGGAUGACGGCCUUCGGGUUGUAAACCUCUUUCAGCAGGGAAGAAGCGAAAGUGACGGUACCUGCAGAAGAAGCACCGGCUAACUACGUGCCAGCAGCCGCCGUAA
rnacentral:rRNA from 1 species